UACGUAGGGGUGCAAGCGUUUGUCCGGAAUUAUUGGGCGUAAAGAGCUUGUAGGCGGUUUGUCGCGUCUGCUGUGAAAUUUCGGGGCUCAACCCCGAACUUGCAGUGGGUACGGGCAGACUAGAGUGUGGUAGGGGAGACUGGAAUUCCUGGUGUAGCGGUGAAAUGCGCAGAUAUCAGGAGGAACACCGAUGGCGAAGGCAGGUCUCUGGGCCACUACUGACGCUGAGAAGCGAAAGCAUGGGGAGCGAACAGG
rnacentral:rRNA from 1 species